rnacentral:rRNA from 1 species
AUUGAACGCUGGCGGCAGGCCUAACACAUGCAAGUCGAGCGAGCGGCGGACGGGUGAGUAAUGUAUGGGGACUGCCCGUUAGAGGGGGAUAACUACUGGAAACGGUGGCUAAUACCGCAUACUAUCGGAUAACCCAUAUGGGAUUGGCUUGUGGGGGGGGUAAAGGCUCACCUAGGCGACGACCACUAGCCGGUCUGAGAGGAUGAUCGCCCAAACGGGGACUGGAAAACGGCCAAGCGCCCUACGGGGGAAGCAGUGGGGAAUAUUGCAAAAGGGGCGCAAGCCUAAUGCAGCCAGGCCGCGGGUAGGAAGAAGGCCUUAGGGUUGUAAAGUACGUUCAGCGGGGAGGCGUUACCCGCAGAAGAAGCACCGGCUAACUCCGUGCCAGCCGCCGCGGUAAUAC